AUUUUGAACAGGUUGCACCUCUGGAGAUCCAUGAAGAAAACCUGAUUGACGUUGAAGAGCAACUUCGGUUUCUUAUUCAUGCCGUAUAAGCAACAAAGAUUAGUUACUUGCUUCCUCUUUUAAAGGGCUCAUUUUCUUGUUGGAUAUGGAACAGUUUAGGAAUCUUGCCAGGCUCAAUCUUUCCAAGUGUCAGAUGUGGUUUGGAAAUGGCAAUCCUUAAUGCUAUAGCAGCAAGUGAAGGUUCCAGUUUAUUGAAUAUACUCCAUCGUGAGACAGCUACGCAAGAAGAGUUAUCUGAAAGGUCAUCUAUUGUUCAGAUUUGUGCUCUUAUUGACUCCAAUGGGACUCCUAAGGAUGUUGUUGAUAUUGUUGCUGCACUUGUUGGAGAAGGUUUCACUGCAAUGAAACUAAAAGCUAGAAAUCUUUGCCAAAUUAUAUUGUUUCUAGAUUACUUUGUUCUAGAUGAAAUUUCCUAAAGCAACUUGGUAGCACGUCGGCCAGAUCCCCUUGAAGAUGCCAUGGUUAUACAAGAAGUUAGAAAGAAGGUUGGCCACCAGAUUAACCUCCGUGCUGAUGCAAAUCGGAAAUGGACCUAUGAAGAAGCAGUUCUAUUUGGUUCUUCUGUGAUGAAUUGUGGCCUACAGUAUAUUGAGGUAACUUCAAGUACAAUUGGCUAUUAAUCCUUGUUGGUCAACAGAAAGGGUUGUGUUAGGUUUAUUUGCUAGUACGCAGAUUUUCUUUUGAUAGGCAUUGCAUAGAGAUUUUUAGUACUUCACAAUACUAAAUUGUGGUAAUCACAU